rnacentral:rRNA from 1 species
AAGGCUAAAUACUCCUGACUGACCGAUAGUGAACCAGUACCGUGAGGGAAAGGCGAAAAGAACCCCGGCGAGGGGAGUGAAAAAGAACCUGAAACCGUGUACGUACAAGCAGUGGGAGCACGCUUAGGCGUGUGACUGCGUACCUUUUGUAUAAUGGGUCAGCGACUUAUAUUCUGUAGCAAGGUUAACCGAAUAGGGGAGCCGAAGGGAAACCGAGUCUUAACUGGGCGUUAAGUUGCAGGGUAUAGACCCGAAACCCGGUGAUCUAGCCAUGGGCAGGUUGAAGGUUGGGUAACACUAACUGGAGGACCGAACCGACUAAUGUUGAAAAAUUAGCGGAUGACUUGUGGCUGGGGGUGAAAGGCCAAUCAAACCGGGAGAUAGCUGGUUCUCCCCGAAAGCUAUUUAGGUAGCGCCUCGUGAAUUCAUCUCCGGGGGUAGAGCACUGUUUCGGCAAGGGGGUCAUCCCGACUUACCAACCCGAUGCAAACUGCGAAUACCGGAGAAUGUUAUCACGGGAGACACACGGCGGGUGCUAACGUCCGUCGUGAAGAGGGAAACAACCCAGACCGCCAGCUAAGGUCCCAAAGUCAUGGUUAAGUGGGAAACGAUGUGGGAAGGCCCAGACAGCCAGGAUGUUGGCUUAGAAGCAGCCAUCAUUUAAAGAAAGCGUAAUAGCUCACUGGUCGAGUCGGCCUGCGCGGAAGAUGUAACGGGGCUAAACCAU